GUUUUGUGUGUGUGUUUGUUUGUGUGUGUGUGUGUGUGUGUGUGUGUGCAUGUCAAGCAACCACAACAAAAAAGGGGGGGCAUUGAUAAAGGCACAAGUAAAUGUAAAAGUAAAAUGGAGGGGAGGGAGAGGGUAUGAUUUUUUUUCCCUACACCAGAGACCUUCCUUUAGCAACAAUUAUGCUAAAACCAAAAUAGCACUGACCAAGGUCUGUUGUUUA